AGUGAAAGAAGUGUUUAUCGUGAUUUUCUUAUAAUUUUCUCUCAUCAGGAAAUAAGAAGAUGCCGAGAAAUUACAUUCGAAAGGGUGAUCGCCUAAAGUACUCGCCAGAUGACCUAAAAAAUGCUUUGCGGGCUGUCAAAGAAGAGAAAAGGAAAAUCAGAGAAGUCGGAAGAAGUUUCAACAUUCCAGAGG